GAAGAAACCUCUGAACGACCUGAGUACAAGUGUCUGAUUCAAUGACUAUCUAUCUAUCUAUCUAUCUAUCUAUCUAUCUAUCUAUCUAUCUAUCUAUCUAUCUAUCUAUGUUUAAAUAUUUGUUAAAUAUUAUUAGAUAUUAAAUAUUACUAAAUGUUAGUUUAAUAUUAGUUAUAUGAAUUCCUUCGAAUUUUAUUUAAUUGUACUUCCUUAUAUUCAGCUUCAAUUUACAGUUACAAUUCUGCUUUCUGUUUGCUUCCUCAAUUCAUUUUAAUUCAAUUCAUGAAAUAAAUUCAAACUGAGAAAGGGCAAUCACUGAACAAAUUCAGAAUUGUGUGCUUUAGUGUUACUGAGGACAGUUAUUAGGACAGUUGUACACUCACAAAUCUAAGCAUAAUGUUUUCUCUCAACAAACCUUUUGUACUCUGUGAGCUUGUUAUAAACGUAAUGCUUGUCCUAAAGUACUUUCUUUCUCUGAAUAUGAACAGUUUCAUCAUAUUCUUCAUAUGCUUUCAAUGCAGCAUCUCAAAAUGUGUCAAUCAAUCAUCAGAAAUAUGUGUAACUCUGUAAGGAAAUGUACACUAUUUAUUCAUAGAGUCGAGGGCCAGCUCGCUGCGGAAGUUAUCAGAGCGAUUGUCCUCCUGUCCAAGUCUCCAGCAGUGCCUUCAGGCAUCAGACCGUGUCGUCCCCGUGUCCUCACAAAUACCCUUCUACAGCACCAGAUGUUUCUACACACGUCGCUGAUAGAUAUACAGACCGGGACCAGAGGAGGAGGAUCAGUGCAUGGAGUAGCACAGGAGGAGGAGACCAACCCAGAUCUGUGGGAUGCUGUGAUAAAAAGCCAUGAAAAAUGA
ensembl:lncRNA